CCUACGGGAGGCAGCAGUAGGGAAUCUUCCACAAUGGGCGAAAGUCUGAUGGAGCAACGCCGCGUGGGUGAAGAAGGUCUUCGGAUCGUAAAACCCUGUUGUUAGCGAAGAAAGUGCGUGAGAGUAACUGUUCACGUUUCGACGGUAUCUAACCAGAAAGCACCGGCUAACUCCGUGCCGGCAGCCGCGGUAAUACGGAGGGGGCAAGCGUUAACCGGAGUUAUUGGGCGUAAAGGGAACGCAGGCGGUCUUUUAAGUGCGGUGUGAAAGCCUUGGGCUUAACCGGAGUAGUGCAUUGGAAACUGGGACACUUGAGUGCAGUAGAGGAGAGUGGAACUCCAUGUGUAGCGGUGAAAUGCGUAGAUAUAUGGAAGAACACCAGUGGCGAAGGCGGCUCUCUGGUCUGUAACUGACGCUGAGGUUCGAAAGCGUGGGUAGCAAACAGGAUUAGAUACCCUUGUAGUC
rnacentral:rRNA from 1 species